AUUUGGUCGUGAACAGUUUUAAGGACUAAUCGAUAAAUCCUCUCUUUAUCGAACUUAAAUAGUCCUAAGGACUUCAUCAUAACAAGGGAGUUCAUUAGAAGAUGAAAGCUUAUGAUGAAGAUACCAAAUAUAUUUUAUUUAUUAACAAAUCAAUUACAAUACUUGGUUGCUCAACCGUCAAUAGCUUGACGAUUGGCUUUUGGGACAUAUUU
rnacentral:lncRNA from 1 species